AAAGUCGUAACAAGGUUUCCGUAGGUGAACCUGCGGAAGGAUCAUUAUUGAAUGAACAUGGAGUUUGGUUGUCGCUGGCCCCUUCACUGGGGCAUGUGCACGCCUUUCUCUAUUCAUCCACACACACCUGUGAACUUGUGAGACGGAUAGUAGUCCCCCCCCCUCGGGGAGGGCGAGCUCCGCCUGCUAUACAUAAACUCCAGUAAAUAAAUUUGAAUGUCAUUUGAUGUAACGCAUCUAUAAACUAAGUUUCAACAACGGAUCUCUUGGCUCUC
rnacentral:misc_RNA from 1 species